rnacentral:rRNA from 1 species
UACAGAGGUCCCAAGCGUUGUUCGGAUUCACUGGGCGUAAAGGGUGCGCAGGUGGGUUUGCAAGUUCGAUGUGAAAGCCCCGGGCUUAACCCGGGAAUGGCAUUGGAUACUGCAGAUCUGGAGGAUCGGAGGGGGGACUGGAAUUCUUGGUGUAGCAGUGAAAUGCGUAGAUAUCAAGAGGAACACCAGUGGCGAAGGCGAGUCCCUGGACGAUACCUGACACUGAGGCACGAAAGCCAGGGGAGCAAACGGG